CACAUUCAACUAUGUAAAGAAAAAGGUAUUUAAUAAGAAUAUUUAAUUCAUUCAGAUCUAGGAUGUGUUAUUUUAGUGUUCCCGUUAUUUUUUUGUGCAGUGUACUUUUUUGGUUAAUACAUGACUCCGUGUGUUAUUUCAUAGUUGAUGUCUUCACUAUUAUUCUACAAUGUAGAAAAUAGUAAAAAUAAAGAGAAAUCCUUGAAUGAGUAGGUGUUCCACAACUUUUGAUCACUAGUCUACAUCCUAAACAGCUCGGAUUGCUUAAGUUUCUUUCCAUUCAUAACUAUUAAUCCAACCCUUCCCCAUUACUCUAUUUCCAGGAGUACAUAGGAAUUGAUGGGGUUGGUGAUUACCUGGACAAGAGUCUGGUGAGGCUGCUGGAGGGGCCAUGGAUCUCCAAUAGGCACAUAGGAGAUCAUGGCUCUCUGGGAAAAUCUUCCAGAGAGAGAUAAGGCGGCUGUCUCCUACCCCGAGAGGUUCCCGGAACAGAGUCCUGCAGGGGCGCUUCAAAAAUUCAAAGACCUCAACCGUGAAGGGGGAAGAGAGUAUGAAAUGCUCCCUGCUUGGGCAAGGCUCUGGACCUGCUCAGUGGCCCAACACCAGCAGGACAGUAGAGGCCAUUUUCAUUGAGUUGUGCCACAAACACCCUGCUGGCAAGACUGUGCUUGGGAACAUGGUGCUGAGCAGCCCAAACCUGAAGAUCCACACAACGCUGCAACUGCUCGAGUUCAACAAGUUGACCUUGACACAGUGUUACUGAAAACAAUUAUCACACAGGUACAACAAUAGGAUGUCCUCCAUGGCGAGAGUGACCCUUCACCAGAGGAUUCAGGCACCUUCCACGCUGCAGUCAGGAGCACACCACCGCUGCCAGCCCCGUCAACCAGCAGCACCUACUGUACCAACUUCCAGAGGACAGAACGGGGCAGGCUACACAGCGUGGCAGGGCAGCCACUGUCACCCAGUCUGCCUACCACCUCCCUUCCUAUAACUCCAGUCUUUCAAGACCUGCACUCCUCUGCCCCUUCCUGCUGGUGGACCCAAGGUCUCCAGGACCACCGAAUGGAGGAGGAGGAAGAGGCUGGAAAUAAAGUCAGGGCGCACAAGCCGUAUGAAGGAUACAACUGUUCUAAAUGUGGCAAGCCUAAAACUUGUGAAUUUGGACACUGAAUGGAACUGUGCGAUUCUGUGCCGCUACCUCUGGCGGCCAAAUUGUGGAAGAGUGGCUGGCACUGAUGAGGUCCCAAAAUGGUGCUAGCCAGGCCCAGUAAACACUGACUGGUGCGUACAUUGUGUUUGUAAAUGUUAUAUCUUGUUCUUUUUUUUAAUGGCAAUUAUUCAUUUUCAAUGGCAAUUAUUCAUUUUCAAUCACCUUAACUGUACAGUAGGUGUAGUAGACAUGCUGUGUUGGGCACAUGACAUUCCCUGUGACAAUCAAUAAUAAUUGAAUACAUUUUACUUAAUCACUUUUUCUCCCUUGAUAUUCAUUCGGAUUUAUUUUCAUACACUUUAUAAAGUUUAACAAAUCAAAAUUCAAGUCAGUCAAUGUUCUACAAUGUUCUAGUCAGUCAAAGACAAAAAAUAAAAACAGAUAGUUUCUACUCAGA